GCACGGCUAACUCAGCGGGAGAGUGCCACCUUGACGUGGUGGAGGUCGAGGGUUCAAACCCCCCGCCGUGUA
rnacentral:tRNA from 3 species